rnacentral:rRNA from 1 species
UACGUAGGGGGCAAGCGUUGUCCGGAUUUAUUGGGCGUAAAGCGCGUGUAGGCGGCCAGGUAGGUCCGCUGUGAAAACCCGAGGCUCAACCUCGGGACGUCGGCGGAAACCAUCUGGCUAGAGUCCGGAAGAGGAGAGUGGAAUUCCCGGUGUAGCGGUGAAAUGCGCAGAUAUCGGGAAGAACACCCGUGGCGAAGGCGGCUCUCUGGGACAGUACUGACGCUGAGACGCGAAAGCGUGGGGAGCGAACAGG